ensembl:snRNA Gm26105 U2 spliceosomal RNA
AUCACUUCUUAGCCUUCUUACUAAGAUCAAGGGCAUGAUCCGUUCUUAUCACUUUAACGCUGGGUCCCCCAUCUGAAGACCACAUAUUAAAUGACUUGUGGAGCUUAUCAAUAGACUAGAAACUGGCUCUGCUCUCUACACCCAUUGACCUGGUAUUGCAGAACAUCCAGGGAUGGUGGAUCCUCC